rnacentral:lncRNA from 1 species
UCAUUGCCAAACAUUAUGAGUAAUUGUAUCUGGUUUAGGGAAUUGAGAGACUUGAGAGAGUUAGUGUGCUCUAGAAUUCACCCCUUAGUUAUAGUUACCUUGGUUUAAGAUUUGCUAAGUUGUAGAUUUCUUGUUUGAUUCGGUUUGUGUUUUACGACUAAGCAAGUUUUAGUUUCUGAUACUUGAUUUGUAUAUGUGUGUUGUGUCCUAGGGUGAAAAUUGUAUACACAUUGUGUGACUCAGGAGACUGAUAAAGAGUGACAUCGAAGAAUACUCAUUGCGGAACAUUAUGAGUAAUUGGGUCUGGUUUAGGGAAUUGAGAGAGCUAGGGUGCUCUAGAAUUCACCCUUUAGUUACAAUUUCCUUGGUUUAGGUUUUGCUAAGCUGUAGAUUCUUCUUUGAUUCAGUUUGUGUUUUACGAUUAAGCAAGUUUUAGUUUCUGAUCUUAGGAGAGUUUCUGAUACUUGAUUAGUAUAUGUGUGUUGUGUCCUAGGGUGAAAAUUGUAUACUCAUUGUGUGACUCAGGAGAUUGAUAAAGAGUAACAUCGAAGAAUACUCAUUGCCGAACAUUAUGAGUAAUUGGGUCUGGUUUAGGGAAUUGAGAGAGUUAGGGUGCUUUCGAAUUCACCCUUUAGUUACAAUUACCUUGGUUUAGGUUUUGCUAAGUUGUAGAUUCUUCUUUGAUUCGGUUUGUGUUUUACAAUUAAGAAAG